rnacentral:rRNA from 1 species
AUACGUAGGGGGCGAGCGUUGUCCGGAAUGACUGGGCGUAAAGGGCGCGUAGGCGGCCCGGUAAGUCUGGAGUGAAAGUCCUGUUUUUAAGAUGGGAAUUGCUUUGGAUACUGUCGGGCUUGAGUGCAGGAGAGGUAAGUGGAAUUCCUCGUGUAGCGGUGAAAUGCGUAGAGAUUGGGAGGAACACCAGUGGCGAAGGCGACUUACUGGACUGUAACUGACGCUGAGGCGCGAAAGUGUGGGGAGCAAACAGGAUUAGAUACCCUGGUAGUCCACACUGUAAACGAUGAAUGCUAGGUGUAGGGGGUAUCGACCCCUUCUGUGCCGCAGUCAACACAAUAAGCAUUCCGCCUGGGGAGUACGGCCGCAAGGUUGAAACUUAAAGGAAUUGACGGGG